rnacentral:rRNA from 1 species
UUUAUGGAGAGUUUGAUCCUGGCUCAGGAUGAACGCUGGCGGCGUGCCUAAUACAUGCAAGUCGAGCGAACGGACGAGAAGCUUGCUUCUCUGAUGUUAGCGGCGGACGGGUGAGUAACACGUGGAUAACCUACCUAUAAGACUGGGAUAACUUCGGGAAACCGGAGCUAAUACCGGAUGAUAUUUUGAACCGCAUGGUUCAAAAGUGAAAGACGGUCUUGCUGUCACUUAUAGAUGGAUCCGCGCUGCAUUAGCUAGUUGGUAAGGUAACGGCUUACCAAGGCAACGAUGCAUAGCCGACCUGAGAGGGUGAUCGGCCACACUGGAACUGAGACACGGUCCAGACUCCUACGGGAGGCAGCAGUAGGGAAUCUUCCGCAAUGGGCGAAAGCCUGACGGAGCAACGCCGCGUGAGUGAUGAAGGUCUUCGGAUCGUAAAACUCUGUUAUUAGGGAAGAACAUAUGUGUAAGUAACUGUGCACAUCUUGACGGUACCUAAUCAGAAAGCCACGGCUAACU